UCUCCAGACUCCUACGGGAGGCAGCAGUGGGGAAUAUUGCACAAUGGGGGAAACCCUGAUGCAGCGACGCCGCGUGGGCGACGAAGCGCUCCGGCGCGUAAAGCCCUGUCAGCAGGGAAGAACAAAGACAGUACCUGACCAAGAAGCCCCGGCUAACUACGUGCCAGCAGCCGCGGUAAUACGUAGGUGGCAAGCGUUGUCCGGAUUUACUGGGUGUAAAGGGCGUGCAGCCGGAGAGACAAGUCAGAUGUGAAAUCCACGGGCUCAACCCGUGAACUGCAUUUGAAACUGUUUCCCUUGAGUGUCGGAGAGGUAAUCGGAAUUCCUUGUGUAGCGGUGAAAUGCGUAGAUAUAAGGAAGAACACCAGUGGCGAAGGCGGAUUACUGGACGAUAACUGACGGUGAGGCGCGAAAGCGUGGGGAGCAAACAGGAUUAGAUACCCCCGUAA
rnacentral:rRNA from 1 species